rnacentral:rRNA from 1 species
UACGUAGGUGGCAAGCGUUGUCCGGAUUUACUGGGCGUAAAGAGCGCGCAGGCGGUCGUUCAAGUCGCGUGUGAAAGCCCCCGGCUCAACUGGGGAGGGUCACGCGAUACUGAUCGACUCGAAGGCAGGAGAGGGAAGUGGAAUUCCCGGUGUAGUGGUGAAAUGCGUAGAUAUCGGGAGGAACACCAGUGGCGAAGGCGGCAUCCUGGACCAACACUGACACUGAGGAGCGAAAGCCAGGGGAGCAAACGGG